GAUACUGGCUCAGGAUGAACGCUAGCUACAGGCUUAACACAUGCAAGUCGAGGGGCAGCAUGGUCUUAGCUUGCUAAGGCCGAUGGCGACCGGCGCACGGGUAAGUAACACGUAUCCAACCUGCCGUCUACUCUUGGACAGCCUUCUGAAAGGAAGAUUAAUACAAGAUGGCAUCAUGAGUCCGCAUGUUCACAUGAUUAAAGAUAUUCCGGUAGACGAUGGGG
rnacentral:rRNA from 1 species